CUUUCAUGUGUUCUUCUUCAUUCAUCAGCACUUGAGCUUAUUGUUCUUUAAUGUGUGGUCAAAUAAUAACCAGUUCUUUUUCUUCUUCAUUCAUCAGCAGAUGAACUUCAAGACAGCCUUCAGAGAACCGUGGCUCAGCGUGCUUUGGACUCGGUCCGUCCUGCUCCAAUGACAAGUCUUCAGACUAAGAUUGCAGGAUCACUUCAGUGAGGUGGAAGCACAAUACAGUCAAGUGCCAGCGAAAAGAACAUCCUGGAGACACUGAGAUCUGAGAUGCAGCCACAGUCAUAGCAGUUGAAGACAGUCUUCAGAGAACUGUGGCUCAGCGUGCUCUGGACUCGGUCCGUCCUGCUCCAAAGAUUGCAGGAUCACUUCAGUGAGGUGGGAGCACAAUUCAGCAAUGCAAAGCGCAGUACAGUCAAGUGCCAGUGAAAAGAAUACAUCCUGGAGACACUGAGAUGCAGCCACAGUCAUUUUUAUAGCAGUUGAAGACAGCCUUCAGAGAACUGUGGCUCAGCGUGCUUUUGAAGCACAAGACAGCACUACAUCUGCACGUCGAAUCAAAGGAUUCAGAGAGGCGGGAGCACAUUGCAGCAUGCAAUACAUGUACAGAAGAAACACUGCAACUUGUCUUCGCAGCUAUGUGUUGGAACUGUCUCUACCCCUGGUAAAACGGAAAAGAGAACUGUACUGUUCCGAAUGCUGAAGGUGACCAUCACGACAGUGAGUCUUGCAAGCCCUUCUGAAGACAGCGAGGGAACAACCUUUGACCAUUUGGUAACUUUGGGGCAGAGAAGAGCCAAGUAAUCAUGAAAGGUAAUGCUGACAAGGGAGAGAUGUUUGGGCUUGGAUCCUGUGUGACGUUACACUCCCUAACAGUCCACCGUUGUCUGUGACGCUGCUUUGGAAUGAACCCUGCAACAUGGAUCUCGACGAACAGCCUGGAGAACAAGCUGGAUGGAACUUAACCUGGAGUGUUACAAGCUUUCCUGUUCUAAACAAACCCGUGGCAACAUCAGCCCAGAAAGAACUGUACUGAAAAAUUCCUGCACUUGAUCUAAAUCAUGGAGAUUGCACCAUAUUCAUGCCUUUUGGGUGGAACUGACUCAUUGAACGACUGGCUAUUACAACACAGAGAUGGAUCAAAACAUACUGGGUAAGACCAGUUUUGACACUACACUGACCUGGGAGGUGGCUUAAAGAAAAAAAAAAGAAAAAAAAGAAAAACGUCCCAAAAGCAGCAUCUGUGUGUCAACUUAGAGGUGACAUACAAUUGUUACACUUGUAGCCGAGACUAUAAAAAAAACAGUCUCGACAGGUAGCUACUAGCAGUUGCCACUUAGUUACGAUAACCUGAAAAAAUCAAAUACUAGUAGAUACGCUUGUAUGUGUAGCCGAGACUCUAAAAAAAAAAACAGUCUCGCCAAGUAGCUGCUUACUUUCUUAUAGGAUGAAGUCAGUAGGUUAUAUAACAGUUUGAUAUAAGCUCUGAAAUCACAACAUCAAUUUGAAUGCUAGGCAUUUUUUGCCUGUUUCUCUUUCCGAAUGUCUAUAGUGUUAAGUCAACCAUUUGACGAAGCAGGACCUUCCUUGAAGUUGAUUAACUUGUGACAAGGUCUUGCAUAACUGGUAUUUAUUGUUCUCUUUAUCUAAGUGCGUGCAUGUGUUUGUGUGUAUGUUACAAUGAAAAGGACAUAGGACAUCCCUUCAAGCUGGUGAACUUGAUAAAUGUCCGAGUUUGCAUAAUAAUUGUGUGUAUGUGUUACAUGUAUCAGAACAGAAAGCAGUACCUUUGCUUAAUAUUUAAGUUGAUAAACUUCCAAAAACGUUUGCAUAAUUUAAUUGAUAUUUUGUUAAUCAUAACUUUAUUUCUCUCUAACUAAGGUAGAUAUAGAUAAGCAUAUAGUACUCCACUUGUACUAUUUUAAAGUGUGUCAGAGAGGGGUAGCACUUCUACUGGAUGGCAAGUGGCAUUCUGCAGGGUAGCUGUGGGGUGGCCCAUCCGUAUUAGUCCCCAUCUGGCACAUUAUAGAUAAGUUAAGUUGACCCGUUAACUAGGUUAAUUGGUUAGCUUAAAGGUUAGGUUAGGUAAUAGGUUAGUAGGUUAGAUAAUAGGUUAAGUAAUAGGUUAGUUUACUUACAGGUUAGUUGACAGUUAACAGGUUAGUGAAUUAUAGGUUAGUCUACUUUCUUAUAGUUUAGUAGGUAAUAUGUUCUCAGUUAGUAGGUUAGUUUACUUAUAGGUUAGGUAAUAGCCAAGACUCUGUCUCGCCCAGUAGCUGCUAGCAAUGGCAACUUAAUGUAUGUGUAGCGCAGACUCUGAAAAAAAAACAGUCUCACCAAGCAGCAGCUUACUUCCCAAUAGGUUAGGUAAUAGAUUAUUUAGUAUGUUAAUUUACUUACUUAUAUGUUAGUCAAUAGGUUAGGUAUACAUGUAAGUCUUUGAAUGACAAUAAUGUGUAAUUAUAAUGAAUCAUCACCCUGUGGUCAGUUAAACUUAAGGCAUCAAUCAUAUUGAAUCGAUUCCGUUUAUGCGGCAAGUUGGUGAUUAGAUUUAAAUCACCCGAAUGGAGGCCUGGCGGACCCCAUCUCGUAUUGGCACGCCAUACGGUGAUCUACUUAAUCACCCUUGCAAAAAGCCCCAUCCCAUCAACCCCCAAGAAAAACAACAGUGUCAUACUUCUAUGAUACUUAAGCAAGAGUAAGUCCAACAAGGUAACAAUCCCAAUGAUCCUUUCUCCCCAGACCUACCCUUGUGUACCCAGGACUUGAAAGGUGCUUUAUUACACGUAAUCUACUGUAGGGUAUGGACAACACCUUGUGAUGGAAAAGGUUUACAGAAAUGAGUUGGAUGGCAUGUUUGGAUUUCUUCUGGUUUUUGAUUAAGAGACUCUGUUGACUCAAAGUUUGAGUGCUUGAAUUGCCUUGGCCAGGUAGACCAAGGUUCACUAAGGAAUAGGCAAGUAUUCAUGGCCUGCCUACCUGCCUACUUUCCUUAAGUACUCGGGCCAGGAUCUGGCCCCUUCCUCCCCUCUGUCUAGAUUAGAUACAGAUACAGAUAGAUUCUCCGACCCGCUCUGUCCAAGGCCAGUGUCUCAGCUUACCAGGUAUUCAUGGCUUGGGAAAGUAAUUAUCAAUACAUUUGUAUUGUGUAUCUUCCAGCUGGUUUUGAGUUUAUUACUGUUUGGCCACUGCAGCCAAAAUGUCCCGUAUUUUCAAUGGCAGAUAUACAGCUAUAUAUUGUGAAUGAUGACAUCUAAUAUUUGGCAUUAGAUACAAACAGUGCCAGACAACGGCUUUUUCAUGUGGAACAUGCGGAAAGCACUGCUGGAGCAAUGCUGGACUAGCGGCAAACUGCCGAACUCGAUUAUCGUAUGUGAUCGAUCUUCC